rnacentral:rRNA from 1 species
AUAUUUUCUCUUUUCUUUUCCCAUUCACACUUGCUAAAACCCAACAGAAGUGUCUCUUAUGUUUCAUCCGCAAGUUUCCUUGUUGGGCCGUACUUGUGUUUUUCCUUGGCCCAAUAGAUGGAAACGUCUUCUAAUACCGCCUAGGAUAAGGAGAAAAAAGAGGAAUACGCUCGAUGAGAGACUCGUGUAUGAAUAGACAAUUGGUGAGGCAAUAACUUACUAAUGCGAUGAUUAGUAGCUGGUUCGAGAUGAUGAUCAUUAAUUUUGGGAUUGAGACACGGCUCAGACUCUUAUGGGAGGCAGCACUGGGGAAUUUUCCACAAAGAACAAAAACAUGACUGAUAAAUUCCACGUGGAGGAAGAUGGCCCACAGGUCAUGAAAUUUUUCUCACGGAAAAAAAGCAUUGAAGGUAUCUUAAGAAUUAGCAUCGACUAACUUUGUGCCAGCGGCAGUGGUGAUACAAAGAAGUCAACCUUUAUCUAAAAUUAUUGGGUGUAAAACGUCUGUAGAUGGAUUUUUAAGACUUCCAUCAACUACCACGACUCAACCUUGAACAAGCGACGAAGACUACCGAUGUGGAGUACAGUAGCAGCAGAGGAAAUUUUUGGUGGAGUGGUUAAAUGGGUAGAGAUCGUAAAGAACACCAACGGCGAAAGCACUCUGCUGGGCCGACACUGACACUGAGAGACGAAAGCUAGGGGAGCGAAUGGGAUUAGAUACCCCUAUAAUCUUAGACGUAAACGAUGGAUACUAGGCGCUGUUCAUAUCAACAUGUGCAGUGUUGUUGCUAGCACAUUAAAUAUCUCUCAUGGGGUGUAAUUUCAAAAGAAUUAAAAUCAAAGGAAUUGAUGAGGGAGUGCAAAAGCGGUGGAGCAUGUGGUUUCAUUAGAUUCGAAGUGAAGAACCUUACCAUGGCUUGACAUGUCGCGGAUACUCUUGAAAGAGAGAGGUUCCUUCGGGAAUGCGAACACAGGUGGUGCGUGGCUUUCGUCAUCUUUUGUCAUAAGGAGUUGGUUUAAGUCACAAUAAUCGCAACCCUCAUGUUUAGUUGCCAUUGUUGAGUUUGGACCAUGAAAAAAUUGCAACAUGAUAAGCCGGAGGAAGGUGAGGAUGACGUGAAGUAACUAUGCCCCUUAUGCCUUUGGCGUCACACGUGAUACAAUUUUUGAGACAAAGGGUCGAGAUCCCGCAAGGUGAGCUAACCCCAAAAACCUGUCAUCAAUUUGGAUUGCAGGUUGCAACUCGCCUGCAUGAAGCCAAAAUGUCUACUAAUCGCCUGUUAGUCAUACGACUGUGAGUUCAUUUCAAAGCCUUGUAUACACUGCCUGUCACACUAUGGGAAAUGACCAUGCCCAAAAUUGUUAUGUUAGCUACAAGGAGGGGAUGCUGAAGGCAGGGCUAGUGACUAGAGUAAAGUCAAAACAACAUAGUUUAGUGGAAGGUGCAGCUG